AUUGAACGCUGGCGGCAGGCCUAACACAUGCAAGUCGAACGGUAACAGGAAGACGCUUGCUUCUUUGCUGACGAGUGGCGGACGGGUGAGUAAUGUCUGGGAAACUGCCUGAUGGAGGGGGAUAACUACUGGAAACGGUAGCUAAUACCGCAUAACGUCGCAAGACCAAAAAGGGGGACCUUCGGGCCUCUUGCCAUCGGAUGUGCCCAGAUGGGAUUAGCUAGUAGGUGGGGUAACGGCUCACCUAGGCGACGAUCCCUAGCUGGUCUGAGAGGAUGACCAGCCACACUGGAACUGAGACACGGUCCAGACUCCUACGGGAGGCAGCAGUGGGGAAUAUUGCACAAUGGGCCCAAGCCUGAUGCAGCCAUGCCGCGUGUAUGAAGAAGGCCUUCGGGUUGUAAAGUACUUUCAGCGGGGAGGAAGGGAGUAAAGUUAAUACCUUUGCUCAUUGACGUUACCCGCAGAAGAAGCACCGGCUAACUCCGUG
rnacentral:rRNA from 1 species